rnacentral:rRNA from 1 species
GAUGAACGCUGGCGGCGUGCCUAAUACAUGCAAGUCGAGCGAACAGACGAGGAGCUUGCUCCUCUGACGUUAGCGGCGGACGGGUGAGUAACACGUGGAUAACCUACCUAUAAGACUGGGAUAACUUCGGGAAACCGGAGCUAAUACCGGAUAAUAUAUUGAACCGCAUGGUUCAAUAGUGAAAGACGGUUUUGCUGUCACUUAUAGAUGGAUCCGCGCCGCAUUAGCUAGUUGGUAAGGUAACGGCUUACCAAGGCAACGAUGCGUAGCCGACCUGAGAGGGUGAUCGGCCACACUGGAACUGAGACACGGUCCAGACUCCUACGGGAGGCAGCAGUAGGGAAUCUUCCGCAAUGGGCGAAAGCUUGACGGAGCAACGCCGCGUGAGUGAUGAAGGUCUUCGGAUCGUAAAACUCUGUUAUUAGGGAAGAACAAAUGUGUAAGUAACUAUGCACGUCUUGACGGUACCUAAUCAGAAAGCACGGCUAACUACGUG